ACUUUUAAUCCUUGGUCGAGUCUUGUUGAAUCCAUAUUUGUCGGAUGAUAUAUUGAAUUUACAGGGAUUCAGUUUUAGAAUCCCGAUUUUUCUCGCCUUCAUAUCUCGACAUUUCCAUAUCAUUUGAAUAAAAACGAGAUCAACAUAAACCACCGGCCACCUUAUUAAGUAUGUCGUCCGAUCUCUAUAAGGAUCUCUGAUUUAGGAAAAACUUAAACACGCCUCCUCCGCCUACUUCUCGAACAAUGAACCACCACAACUAACGAGUGUUUCCUCAUCCUUUGUCUACCGCCACCAUCACACCACUUGCCGUCGGCUUCACUCUCAACAAACACUAACCACACUUAUAGCAGAGUGGGUAGGUUACCCUUCUUCUAUACCAGUUUCCGCUUCACCAUUCUCCUCAACCAGUAACUCCAUUAAUCCCCUCCACAUACCGGUGCUCCCUUAUCCUCUCUACUUUUCUUCUAUUUGAUUGAAAUAUACAGUUUGGAAUAUGGGAAUUUCUUUUUUAUUCUAGGGUUUUUGUUGGAAGACACCAAAACAAUGACCAUCAUCUAAUAACCGCACCUACUCCCUUCUCCCCGGGACUCUCCACGGUAACACAUGGUUUUGAUUUUAUGUAAUGGAUUAAAAAUCACAAUUUCAAAAUUCAUCAGCUAAAAGGAAAGCGAUUUUCGCUAGAAAAAAUAUGUUUUUUUGGUUGAUUUUCUUACUCUUCCUAUGCAGAAGACAAUAACAACAAGAUAAAAAGGCUCUAUCAAACGUUUUCAAGGUAUCAACAAGUAAAAGGUGUUGAAGACAUCGAUUGGGCCAUAGAGAUGCACAUAUCCAUUGGUUUGAAGGCUGUUAACAUCCUGCUUGAUUGUGCAUUCAUGGUGUCUCAUGUUCAAGGCAGUAUAAUUAUUUCAAAGUAUCAAACAUCCCAGAAGGCGAAGUAAUUAUAAGUGCAAAACCAUGUAUUGGUGGUGGUGAAGAAGAAUAUGCGGGUUUUCUUUUCAACUUUUUCACUCUUGUUCUCUGGUAAUGUGAAAGGGGCCUCAUUUUGCUAAUUUUGUGUCUUCGGUGUUUAUGUUUAUAUAACCUUUUGGGCUCUUAUCUUCCGAUUUUCGGGUGUAAAAGAUUAUAAAUCUUUUUGCUAUAUUCUUAAAAUGAUAUUGGACUGAGAAAAGAAACAUGUAUAGUAUUAA